AUGAUUCAAUCUUUUGUCUUACAAUUUUUAAAAAAUCCAAAUUUCAAAAUCGACUAAAAGAAAUAUUGUCAAGUAAAUUCAAAGUUUUUAAAAGUAGAAAACAUA
rnacentral:tRNA from 1 species